CCUGCACACAAACAGACACAGAGCUGGAGAUCAGAGGCGCCGCUCCAAUGGGAAUCCCACUUCAAAGGAGGCAUUUGUGACUGCGCUUUAGAAAGUCCAGCUCUUCAAACGCUGCCGCGGCUCCACGGGGAUUACAGCGAACAGCCCAGUGUUUAGUGCCGCAUGCAGCCAAACCCGCGAUUUCACACGCCACACAUUUUGAGGCAUGUGUGGAUGCGGAAACGAUGCUGCGGCAGCAGAAGCUGAAGAUGAAAGUCUAAAUCUGUGCUCCUGAACGCUUUCACAUCACAGCAGAAACAGUCACAUGGUCACGUCAGGCGUAUCAGCCAUCAACCUUCGAGACCACUUGAAUCCCUGAGGCUGCAGAGUGGGUCAGAACCGAGGGUCCAGAGGGGGAACAGUCCAUGCACAGACAGGAAGUGGAGCCUCUAGAGGUGUGUUUGACUUUGGUCAGUUCUGCUAAACUCAUUAUCAAUUCAAGCCCAAGUGUUUGUAGUUCUGGUCCAGGUCGGGUCUGUUUGACUCAGCAGGAUCUGAGCUGAGGUUCUGAAGGUUCUGAGCUGCUUAAUGACAUCCUACAGUCUGAACACAGAAUGGAGUUGAGCUCUAAUUGCUUUGACUCAGUUUGAACUUAAUCACAGAACAUAAUUAUGGACCUUGCUCCUGCUGGUCUGUUUUAGAUUUUAGCCUCAGCUGCUGAAUGAGAGAUUAAUGUGGAACUGAACGCUGAGUUUGUUACUCAGAAGCAGAGAAGUGAACUUAGUGGUGAGAUGUGUGUACAAAUGUGUAAAAGCAGCGUUGGAGAAGCACAAAGUUUUUCCUCAGACUCUCUUCAUUUCCCUCCGUGGAGCUGGUAGCAGACGUGACCAGAACCAUGACCUUCAGCUGGAGACCAGUACCAACACCUGCAGCGAUCACUGGUCACGUUCCUCCAGGGUGAGAUCAUGAAGUGUGUUGAUGAAUCUGAUGCUAGACUUGGUCCAAAUGAUAGAAGCAGCCGUUAAUGAACCUGCUAAUGAAGCUGAGGAGCCUCUGUCAACAACUUCUGAAACUUUGUGGGUCACUUUAGGAAGGUUCCAGUUAAAAUGAACGGGUUUCCUGCCGGCGUUAACAGGUUAAUAAGGAAAAAGAUCGCUCAGGACAGAAGGAAGGACAGAAGGAAGGACAGAAGGAGGGACAGAAGGAAGGACAGAAGGAGGGACAGAAGGAAGGAUAGAAGGAGGGACAGAAGGAAACAGAGCUUUGCAACCAGAACUGGGUCCACUCGGUUCCUGAAGGAUCAGCGUCGGCCUCGGCGUCGGCCUCGGCGUCGGCCUCGCCGUCGGCCUCGCCGUCAGCCUCAGCACCAGGCUGGUGAAACGCCGGCGCCGUGAUGUGACGGCCUCUUUAAAGCCUCCUACCGUCGUGGUUGGCGUUGCCCAGCGUCCACGGCUCGUCAGAGUCAAAGUGGGUGUCGCCUCCGAUGCCGGCGCCGGGGAAGUAGGCGUGGGCCAGGAAGCCCCCCUCUCCGUCGAAGGGCGAGCUGUCGCCAUGGAAACCAGAGGCGAAGAAGAUCAUGAUGUCGGCCUCCUUACCCUCGUUCUUGAUCUCGGAGUACGGCACCUCCUAAACCGGAAACGGGGCAGAAACAGGAGCUUCAGCAGCAGCGAGGGAGGAAACUGCAGGGAUGUGCAUCACAACAGCGCGGCGCAUGUUCUCUGACCUGGAAGGAGAGCGGCGUCACCGUCUGCCACACGUUGAAGGCCUGCCGGAUCGCUCGCUGCGUGUCCUUCUCUCCCACUUUGGGGGUGAAGUUGGAGAUGCUGCAGGAAGCAGAGACGGCGUCAGGUGAACAGGAAUCACACGAUCCACCGCUUUUACUAAACUCAAGCCUUUUUUUGUGGAGCAGACAAUUGGAACCAGCAGCAGGCUGAGGAAUGGACCGGGUCAGACAUAGGUACCAGCAGCAGGCUGAGGAAUGGACCGGGUCAGACAUAGGUACCAGCAGCAGGCUGAUGAAUGGACCGGGUCAGACAUAGGUACCAGCAGCAGGCUGAGGAAUGGACCGGGUCAGACAUAGGUACCAGCAGCAGGCUGAGGAAUGGACCGGGUCAGACAUAGGUACCAGCAGCAGGCUGAGGAAUGGACCGGGUCAGACAUAGGUACCAGCAGCAGGCUGAUGAAUGGACCAGGUCAGACAUAGGUACCAGCAGCAGGCUGAGGAAUGGACCGGGUCAGACAUAGGUACCAGCAGCAGGCUGAGGAAUGGACCGGGUCAGACAUAGGUACCAGCAGCAGGCUGAGGAAUGGACCGGGUCAGACAUAGGCUGGCAGGACGGUGGAGAGUCCCUUCAAGAAGCAGUCAAUCACCAGCAAAACAGGUGAAAAUGAGACUACAAAACUCUGCCUUGACUUUUAUAUAACAUGAUUUAUUUUACCCAGUGGGUCUCAACAUUUUGUUCUGGUUUAUAAAUUAAUUUAUUAGAGACAGAUAGAUAUUAAAAAUCAUCUAUGUACAAAACAACACAGUAACACAACCACGGUUACGUCAUAAAAGGAAGAUAGAGAACAGAAUGAGGAGAAAACAAACCCAGAGGCAGCGACGUAGCUACACAAUCACCAUCGCCCAUCGCUAUGGCAACCAACCAACGCUACAAGGAUGAAUGUUAGAAUGUUUUCCUGUAACAUUAUCAGGAAAUACACAUCUCAACCUCAUUGUUGUCCAGACACUCAGCUUCUGUACAUCUGUCUUUUAAACCAUAUAAACAUAUUAAACAAGCAUCAUAUACUGAA